GGAUCCAGACUUUGAUUCUGGCUCAGGACGAACGCUGGCGGCGUGCUUAACACAUGCAAGUCGAACGAGAAUCUGUGGAACGAGGAUUCGUCCAAGUGAAGCAGAGGACAGUGGCGGACGGGUGAGUAACGCGUGAGGAACCUGCCUUUCAGAGGGGGACAACAGUUGGAAACGACUGCUAAUACCGCAUGACACAUAGAUGUCGCAUGGCAUUUAUGUCAAAGAUUUAUCGCUGAAAGAUGGCCUCGCGUCUGAUUAGCUAGUUGGUGAGGUAACGGCCCACCAAGGCGACGAUCAGUAGCCGGACUGAGAGGUUGAACGGCCACAUUGGGACUGAGAUACGGCCCAGACUCCUACGGGAGGCAGCAGUGGGGAAUAUUGGGCAAUGGGCGCAAGCCUGACCCAGCAACGCCGCGUGAAGGAAGAAGGCUUUCGGGUUGUAAACUUCUUUUGUCAGGGACGAGUAGAAGACGGUACCUGACGAAUAAGCCACGGCUAACUACGUGCCAGCAGCCGCGGUAAUACGUAGGUGGCAAGCGUUGUCCGGAUUUACUGGGCGUAAAGGGCGUGUAGCCGGGAGGGCAAGUCAGAUGUGAAAUCCACGGGCUCAACUCGUGAACUGCAUUUGAAACUACUCUUCUUGAGUAUUGGAGAGGCAAUCGGAAUUCCUAGUGUAGCGGUGAAAUGCGUAGAUAUUAGGAGGAACACCAGUGGCGAAGGCGGAUUGCUGGACGACAACUGACGGUGAGGCGCGAAAGCGUGGGGAGCAAACAGGAUUAGAUACCCUGGUAGUCCACGCUGUAAACGAUGAAUACUAGGUGUGCGGGGACUGACCCCCUGCGUGACGCAGCUAACGCAAUAAGUAUUCCACCUGGGGAGUACGAUCGCAAGGUUGCAACUCAAAUGAAUUGACGG
rnacentral:rRNA from 1 species